rnacentral:lncRNA from 10 species
AAGAGAUUAUAAAUGUCUAGCAGGGACUGUUAGAAAUAUAUUUGGUGCCCUUGAUGAUUUCUCAAUCAAGACAGGGAACACUGAGGUACAACCACAUAGAGCAUCGGAGCUGCUACGGUAAAGGGGAAGGAGAGAUUCCUACUCUGGUUGAUGACACUGGAUCCUUGCAAGCUGGACAUCUCGGAACAACAGACACAGCUGUUCAACCUCAGAGGAUGAAAAAGCCUCACAGCUUGCGGUGUUGACAGUAUUCUAGAAGACCCUACACCCCUGUGGCUUCUCGAUGACUAAUGUGGAGCCAGCAUCUGUCAGCACAAACUCAGAGUGAUUACCCAGAAAUAGGUAUCCUUCUAAUUAAAAUAUCUGACCAUGUCCCCAUCAGCCACUUGCCUCAUUUGGGACACCACCAACCAUCCUGCACGGCUGCCCAUGUUUCUGUUUCUCCAGCCCAAGCAUGCAGUUUCAGUAGGUCCUUCAGAGGCUGCCUGAAAGGAGCUCCUGAAUUUCACAGACAAAUCCAGACCCCUGUGUGGAAAGCCUGCGGUGGUGUUCUCCGUCUUCCCACAGGACUCCCUGCAGCCAGGAAUUCUAGGGGAGCACCUGACGCGAGGUAUACGCCCAGAUGGCCUGAAGUAACUGAAGAAUCACAAAAGAAGUGAAAAUGUCCUGCCCCGCCUUAACUGAUGACAUUCCACCACAAAGGAAGUGUCAAUGGCUGGUCCUUGCCUUAACUGAUGACAUUCCACCGCAAAAGAAGUGAAAAUGGCCGGUCCUUGCCUUAACUGAUGACAUUACACCACAAAAGAAGUGAAAAUGGCCGGUCCUUGCCUUAAGUGAUGGCAUUACCUUGUGAAAGUCCUUUUCCUGGCUCAUUCUGGCUCAAAAUCACCCCCACUGAGCACCUUGUGACCCCCACUCCUGCCCGCCAGGGAACAAUCCCCCUUUGACUGUAAUUUUCCUUUACCUACCCAAAUCUUAUAAAAUGGCCCCACCCCUAUCUCCCUUUGCUGACUCUCUUUUUGGACUCAGCCUGCCUGCAUCCAGGUGAUUAAAAGCUUUUAUUGCUCACACA